rnacentral:misc_RNA from 1 species
GUUCGACCAACGCACGGGAUCCAAAUCACUUAUGCCUGUUAUUGUCCCCAUGUACCUACGAACACUGGACUCCUCGGUCUCAAAAAGCAUCCGGAAACGCAUACCAACAGACGCACGAGUGUGGAACACAGCUUUUACAUACUUCGCCAGUGGUAUAACAAACUCAGAAGGACUUGCCCUUGGAUUAUAGAAAAUGGUGAAACAAGUACUAGUUGCAGCAGCAUGGGCGGCUGCAGCAAGGAGUCCUAUGUGCAUGCUAUCACUUGACAAAACCGACGAAGGCAUUACAGUUUGUUGUCUACUAGCACGCCGA